GAUUUCUGACUUGAAACGAUUAGUCGGCCACGGUUUCGUGUGUUAGUAUUAGUCGUUCUGGUCAUCCUUCCAAUCGCUACUGGCUAUUCUUCAUUGAUUGGUCAGUGGUAUUGGAUCUUUUACUUUGAAAAAAUUAGAGUGUUUCAAGCAGGCUUUAUGCUAUGAAUACAUUAGCAUGGAAUAAUAAUUUAGGACUUCGGUUCUAUUUUGUUGGUUUCUAGGACUGAAGUAAUGAUUGAUAGGGACAGUUGGGGGUGCUAGUAUUCAGCGGCCAGAGGUGAAAUUCUCGGAUUCGCUGAAGACUAACUUAUGCGAAAGCAUU
rnacentral:rRNA from 1 species